CAAUUCCUUCUUCCUCGUCUUCUUCUUCUGGGACCCAUGGAUGCCAUUGGCUCUCAUGCUCCACUUCGCCAUCGCGGCCUUCAUUCUUGACGUCAUCUAAUGCCUCUUUUUCUUCCAAAAUGGCCUCAAUUGAUCCACCUACUGCAUUUGACCUGAGCUCCUUGAACUGUCCUCAUUCCCUCUUCCGCGACAGUUGCUCCCGAGUCUCAAUCAGGUGGGAGGCAUGAAACGAAUGAAGCUGAAUAGGAAAGCUUAAUCAAUGGUGUUUUCUCAAUGGAGAUGCAUCCACGAUGCAGGCGAAACAACACCGUC
rnacentral:lncRNA from 1 species